rnacentral:lncRNA from 7 species
AAUUAGGAGGUUUGUGUUGUGUUCUGCUGCUUUUUAUCUGUUAGAGGCUGGUUCUGUUGAGUGACAGCAUGGGGAGCAACUUCAGCAUGCAGACCUGCUGUGGGAGUUGUAAGAAGCAGGAGGAAGCAUAUGAAGAGACUAGUGAGACCAAGCCAAUUCUGCACACCUCAGGGGGCACACCAAUGCACACUGAUACGCAGCCUCCCCCACCAGCCCUGGAAGCCUCUGAAAGAAUCUCUGAAGAAGCUCAGUCACUCUGCUGGGACCAACAGCUGCCAACUGCACGAGAGGUGCAGAGCCAAAGCUGUGCAGAACCUGCUGAACUCGGUGAGGUUUUAAGUGAUGAAGACCAGGAAGUCCUUUGUGAUACAGCAGACAGUGAGGAGAGCAGGGAAUGUGAUCUGGAAACUCCAGCAGAUGAGGCAGAGCCACAGGAGAGUGUUGUGCAACAAAUGCUGCAGCUUCCAGCAGAACUGGCUUGUGCUCAGGUGCCUGCAGAGGAAGAAGCUGAGUUUCUCAGUGUGGUACCCUUGCUGUAUGAAGUGCCUGGACUUCAGAAAGUGACUUUGCUAAAGAGAUGUGUGAGGUGUGCAAUAGAUGUUUCUAGAAAUUCUCCUGGGUUAUAGCUUGGUUGUACUUCUGUUUAGUAGCUGAUUUGCAGGAGAUCUUGCUUUACUGGGAGAGGAGUGAUUCACUUCAAUAGUGGUUUCACUGAAGGAAUGCUGAGCACUGCAUCCCCCAGUGUGGUACAGUGAUAGGAGGUUCCAGUGCAAAGUCUUACAAGUCUGUGGACAGGACAGACAAAAGCUCCUCUAACCCAGCACAGUCAGAUGCCUUCUGUAGCUCACAGACACCGAAUCAAACCUUCCAACCACCUCCUUUUCUACUUGCACAUUUGGUGACUGUUACUUUGGAAGCAUUGAACGUGCUUUCAUGAGUCAAUGAAAUAAUACUCUGGUUUGUUCUUUGUAUUUCUGGUGAUAGCUGAUACAAUCUGUACUCUGUGCUCAUACAAUCUGUACUCUGUGCAGAACUUAAAGAAACAAAUGUAGUCUUGAUCAGAAUGCAUAAGUCAGUGUAUUGCGGUUUAAAUCUACUGACUUUUAAUGUUCAUGACUUUAUGACACCAAUAAAAUAUUUUAAGAUCAUG